UCCUCCUUAUGCGCAAUCGGAAGGAUAAGAUCGAUCACGAUGGAUGAUGCAGAUCAAUGCGGGAUGUUUAUAAAUACUUCGCAUCACACGGAAACCUAAAUCCUAAUCGCUAGUCCCCGUUAGAGAAGAAGAACAAGACGCUGGAGAAGGAGGCCAACCCCCAACCGUCGCCGUGCCGUAGCCACUGCCAACUGCCAAAAGAGGUAAAAAUUCUCUCUAUCUGCUCGAAAUUCAAUAUCGAGUACCCCUGUUGCCAAAUCAGAGCAAGAAGAAAGAUGAGUGAGUUAAAAACUGCGGGUAAAGGCCGGCGGGAGCCGACGCGACUAAAACCACAAAACCCUUCCGACGAGACCUUUCCGAUUUUUGUUUCAUGUAACUUUUCGAUCAUUGUAUUUUUCGUCCUUUUCUGUGCAGAGUAGUCGAAGAAAGAACCUCAG
rnacentral:lncRNA from 1 species